GCUGAACCCAUUCCCACCUAAACAGUGCAGACCUCCUGGGCAGAGUCUCCUGUGGGCCCCAUGUCCCUCCAUGGUGGGUGUCUAUUUCAGUGAGAGGCUCUUCAACACCCAGAAUCUCAGGGAAAAUUCCCCAGCCAGUGCUGGGCUCCCCCCCAACCCAGAAAUGGGCACCCCCUCUGGUGAUAGGGGAAGGCGGUCUCCCUACAGAGGCAGAUUCCAGCAGAGGGUGAGGGAAGGACACAAAAUGCGUUUUCCACGGGGAAAGGGACCACCGUGAGCAUCUCGUUUCUCUGCUUCUUGGAGUGUGUUACAGAAAAUGGGGUGAACUGGCGUGGUGGAGCUCGGAAGGGCAAGGAGGAGCCUUGGAUCCAGAUCUUCCCAGCAGCAGGCUUUAUAGAUUUCUGUGUCUCCCCCGCUGCCCCCCGCAUGCCCUUCUGCUGCAGCCCUCUCUCUCUAUUACCGGGCAUCUUGGCAGCAUUUCCCGGGAACCUGCACCUGCUCUGGGGCUCAUCGGUAUAUGUGCUGGAAAUGCGUGUGAAUGUUCAGCGUGGCGGGGGU
rnacentral:lncRNA from 1 species